rnacentral:rRNA from 1 species
AGUCGAACGAGAGAUGAGGAGCUUGCUCUUCAAAUCGAGUGGCGAACGGGUGAGUAACGCGUGAGGAACCUGCCUCAAAGAGGGGGACAACAGUUGGAAACGACUGCUAAUACCGCAUAAGCCCACAGCUCGGCAUCGAGCAGAGGGAAAAGGAGUGAUCCGCUUUGAGAUGGCCUCGCGUCCGAUUAGCUAGUUGGUGAGGUAACGGCCCACCAAGGCGACGAUCGGUAGCCGGACUGAGAGGUUGAACGGCCACAUUGGGACUGAGACACGGCCCAGACUCCUACGGGAGGCAGCAGUGGGGAAUAUUGCACAAUGGGGGAAACCCUGAUGCAGCGACGCCGCGUGGAGGAAGAAGGUCUUCGGAUUGUAAACUCCUGUUGUUGAGGAAGAUAAUGACGGUACUCAACAAGGAAGUGACGGCUAACUACGUGCCAGCAGCCGCGGUAAAACGUAGGUCACAAGCGUUGUCCGGAAUUACUGGGUGUAAAGGGAGCGCAGGCGGGAGAACAAGUUGGAAGUGAAAUCCAUGGGCUCAACCCAUGAACUGCUUUCAAAACUGUUUUUCUUGAGUAGUGCAGAGGUAGGCGGAAUUCCCGGUGUAGCGGUGGAAUGCGUAGAUAUCGGGAGGAACACCAGUGGCGAAGGCGGCCUACUGGGCACCAACUGACGCUGAGGCUCGAAAGUGUGGGUAGCAAACAGGAUUAGAUACCCUGGUAGUCCACACCGUAAACGAUGAUUACUAGGUGUUGGAGGAUUGACCCCUUCAGUGCCGCAGUUAACACAAUAAGUAAUCCACCUGGGG